UUAUUUUCAAUGUAAAAUCAAUAGUUUAUUGCCAUGCUACAAUUAUUAUUUUUUUUCCAAAUGAAGUUGGCACUGGUAAAGGGGAAAAUGUUGUCAUCAUACAUCAUACCUUUAAAAAUGAACAUUUGGUAAGCUUUCUCAAUAAGGAUAGCUUAAAACAAGGGGUUUGUUUGUUUGUUUGCUUAGUUUUUUUUGUGGUUUUUGUUUUAAGAUUAACAUGGAAUGGCAUAAAAAUACACUCUUUCUGCAUAGUAUAAUAUAAUUCUCAUGAAAGAAAAAUGGAAUGUUUGUAAAAACAAAUUCAUCGAACAGGGCAAAUUAACUGAAAUUUUAUAAACAGUUUGGCAAUGAUACUCUCACUGUUUAGACCUUUUUAUAUAAAAGAAAUAAAAAUCUAGAAAGCUACCUUUAUACAAAGUUGCUAUAUUUAUGCCUUUAAGUAGGAAAAAACAUUUUAUAAUGCAAAUUAGGACAUACAAUAAUCUUACAAUAUCAUACAAUGUAAUGACAAGAAAGGAACAUACAACAUACGAUUUUGGCCUUUGUAGAAAUGUGUAUUUCUGCAUUUAACAAAUGCAUUUGUGGCACACUGGUGACUACUGUAUUCUUACUCCUACCAGCCAGCACACAUGAUAGAACUGUUGUCAGCUGUACUGUAAGGGCAGCUCCGCAGUUUAGUUAAAAACACAGACAAUAUUUCAUGAGACAUAAGGUGAUGCUGCAGUGGAUUGAGAUGUAACACGCAAAGAAGGCAACACGCCUGCUGGUUGAGACAUCUGUAUUGUGGGGUACUGUACAACAUUACUGUCUUUCAUACCAGAGCAUUUCAUAUACAUUCAGUUAUUAAGUACCAAAGUCUUACAAGUGAGAACAUUUGUCUUCAAGAUUUGGCAAAUUUCAGGGAAAAUACAAAGUUAGUACCAAAUAUAUAAUAUAUUAUAUAUAAAAUGCAGGUGUAUGAUAUACACACAUAUUCUAAUGCAAAAAAACUGCAUUAAUAUGGAGUUAAGUUCACUGAUAUCCAUUCCUAAAUAACACAACCAUUACAGAUACAGGUGUAAUCCUGAUCUUUCACACACUUUAGAAUCACUUCCUCUUUCACACACAAUAGUUAAAGCAAUAUAUAUGCAGGUAUGACUAAGAAAUCAAAACUCACAUAGUAAUCUGAACUCUGACCACAACAAAUAGGAUUUCUGUUUUCAGUACAUGUAAUUAAAUAUAUUUAUAUUUUUACAGUAUUUUUAGACCAUUCCUGAAGAACUCGACCAACCAGGUCCUCAGGUGUAACAGAGCUGUUGUCAGCAGAACUCAAUCUUGUAGGGACACACCCGUAGGCCCAGACGCAGAUAUGAAUUAGUUGUUUGGCUUCAAGGGAUGUUGCAUGAGGCCCAAGCACUAGGAAGGCAGAUUCCCUGAUGACAUCAAAGCUCCUACCUCAGACUUCCUUUUCUACUGCCAAAGGGAAGGACCAGAGCAAAGGACACACCGACCCCAGGCUCUCUGGGCAGCUGGCAAGUGGUUGAGAGUAACCACACAUGGCAUGGCCCUGGCACUGGGGAGCGGCAAGGUCUCGGACGGGAGCUAUGGCUGGGACCCCGAGGCAUGAAGGGCUUUGCAGACACGCAGGAAGACAGUCCCUGUUGCAAAGGGCUCGAGCCUAUUUCAUGAUCGUAUUUUUACAGAAUCUCC
ensembl:lncRNA